AGUAUAAAUUGAUUCUGUUGUGAGUAGCAAACAUAUCCUGGGGCAAAAUCAAAAUAAACCGGCCGCGACAGCGGUCACUCGAUAGCAUAAAUAAUGCAACGCCAUAUUAUACCGGUAAUAAUACAGUGUUCUGUGGUGAAAUCCGUUUAUUCUCGGGUUACGAAGUUCAACGUUACUAGAAUUGCAAACAUUUCAGCAAUUUUCAGCAUUUCUGGGAGUUUUGUUUAAAAAUAUAUGUAUAUACUUGUGUUUAGAUAUGGAUUGUAAAUGUUUAUUUAUAGUACAUGUGAUAAAAGUACAAACUAAUUAAUGAUAUUCACUUUGCAUUUGGUAUUUUUAGAGGAUUCGCAGAUUUAUUUUGGGCGCUUUCCGCUUCGUUUUCAAACUUAAAUAUAUAUUGGCUUGCUUUGUAGUUCACAAAUUGUAACUAAAAUAGUAAAAUGGCCAAAGCUGGC
rnacentral:sRNA from 1 species